AGUAUGGACCAGUAUGGACCAGUUUGGACCAGUAUAGACCAGUAUAGAACAGUAUAGACCAGUACAGACGAGUACAGACCAGUAUGGACCAGUAUGGACCAGUAUGGACCAGUAUGGACCAGUACGGACCAGUAUAGACCAGUUUGGGCCAGUAUAGACCAGUCCGGACCAGUAUGGGCCAGUA